rnacentral:rRNA from 1 species
AUACGUAGGGUGCAAGCGUUAAUCGGAAUUACUGGGCGUAAAGCGUGCGCAGGCGGUUUUGUAAGACAGAGGUGAAAUCCCCGGGCUCAACCUGGGAACUGCCUUUGUGACUGCAAGGCUAGAGUACGGCAGAGGGGGAUGGGAUUUCGCGUGGCGCAGUGAAAUGCGUAGAUAUGCGGAGGAACACCGAUGGCGAAGGCAAUCCCCUGGGCCUGUACUGACGCUCAUGCACGAAAGCGUGGGGAGCAAACAGGAUUAGAUACCCUGGUAGUCCACGCCCUAAACGAUGUCAACUGGUUGUUGGGUCUUCAUUGACUCAGUAACGAAGCUAACGCGUGAAGUUGACCGCCUGGGGAGUACGGCCGCAAGGUUGAAACUCAAAUGAAUUGGCGGGG